rnacentral:rRNA from 1 species
GAUGAACGCUGGCGGCGUGCCUAAUACAUGCAAGUCGAGCGAACAGACGAGGAGCUUGCUCCUCUGACGUUAGCGGCGGACGGGUGAGUAACACGUGGAUAACCUACAUAUAAGACUGGGAUAACUUCGGGAAACCGGAGCUAAUACCGGAUAAUAUAUUGAACCGCAUGGUUCAAUAGUGAAAGACGGUUUUGCUGUCACUUAUAGAUGGAUCCGCGCCGCAUUAGCUAGUUGGUAAGGUAACGGCUUACCAAGGCAACGAUGCGUAGCCGACCUGAGAGGUUGAUCGGCCACACUGGAACUGAGACACGGUCCAGACUCCUACGGGGGGCAGCAGUAGGGAAUCUUCCGCAAUGGGCGAAAGCCUGACGGAGCAACGCCGCGUGAGUUAUGAAGGUCUUCGGAUCGUAAAACUCUGUUAUUAGGGAAGAACAAAUGUGUAAGUAACUAUGCACGUCUUGACGGUACCUAAUCAGAAAGCCACGGCUAACUACGUG